GGUUAAGCGACUAAGCGUACACGGUGGAUGCCCGGCAGUCAGAGGCGAUGAAGGACGUGCUAAUCUGCGAAAAGCGUCGGUAAGGUGAUAUGAACCGUUAUAACCGGCGAUGUCCGAAUGGGGAAACCCAGUGUGAUUCGUCACACUAUCGUUAACUGAAUACAUAGGUUAACGAGGCGAACCGGGGAACUGAAACAUCUAAGUACCCCGAGGAAAAGAAAUCAACCGAGAUUCCCCCAGUAGCGGCGAGCGAACGGGGAGCAGCCCAGAGUCUGAAUCAGCUUGUGUGUUAGUGGAACGGUCUGGAAAGUCCGACGGUACAGGGUGAUAGUCCCGUACACCAAAAUGCACAGGCUGUGAACUCGAAGAGUAGGGCGGGACACGUGGUAUCCUGUCUGAAUAUGGGGGGACCAUCCUCCAAGGCUAAAUACUCCUGACUGACCGAUAGUGAACCAGUACCGUGAGGGAAAGGCGAAAAGAACCCCGGCGAGGGGAGUGAAAAAGAACCUGAAACCGUGUACGUACAAGCAGUGGGAGCACCUUCGGGUGUGACUGCGUACCUUUUGUAUAAUGGGUCAGCGACUUAUAUUCUGUAGCAAGGUUAACCGUAUAGGGGAGCCGCAGGGAAACCGAGUCUUAACUGGGCGUUAAGUUGCAGGGUAUAGACCCGAAACCCGGUGAUCUAGCCAUGGGCAGGUUGAAGGUUGGGUAACACUAACUGGAGGACCGAACCGACUAAUGUUGAAAAAUUAGCGGAUGACUUGUGGCUGGGGGUGAAAGGCCAAUCAAACCGGGAGAUAGCUGGUUCUCCCCGAAAGCUAUUUAGGUAGCGCCUCGUGAAUUCAUCUUCGGGGGUAGAGCACUGUUUCGGCUAGGGGGUCAUCCCGACUUACCAACCCGAUGCAAACUACGAAUACCGAAGAAUGUUAUCACGGGAGACACACGGCGGGUGCUAACGUCCGUCGUGAAGAGGGAAACAACCCAGACCGCCAGCUAAGGUCCCAAAGUCAUGGUUAAGUGGGAAACGAUGUGGGAAGGCACAGACAGCCAGGAUGUUGGCUUAGAAGCAGCCAUCAUUUAAAGAAAGCGUAAUAGCUCACUGGUCGAGUCGGCCUGCGCGGAAGAUGUAACGGGGCUAAACCAUGCACCGAAGCUGCGGCAGCGACACUAUGUGUUGUUGGGUAGGGGAGCGUUCUGUAAGCCUGCGAAGGUGACCUGUGAGGGUUGCUGGAGGUAUCAGAAGUGCGAAUGCUGACAUAAGUAACGAUAAAGCGGGUGAAAAGCCCGCUCGCCGGAAGACCAAGGGUUCCUGUCCAACGUUAAUCGGGGCAGGGUGAGUCGACCCCUAAGGCGAGGCCGAAAGGCGUAGUCGAUGGGAAACAGGUUAAUAUUCCUGUACUUGGUGUUACUGCGAAGGGGGGACGGAGAAGGCUAUGUUAGCCGGGCGACGGUUGUCCCGGUUUAAGCAUGUAGGCUGAUUGUCCAGGCAAAUCCGGAUAAUCAAGGCUGAGGUGUGAUGACGAGGCACUACGGUGCUGAAGUAACAAAUGCCCUGCUUCCAGGAAAAGCCUCUAAGCAUCAGGUAACAUCAAAUCGUACCCCAAACCGACACAGGUGGUCAGGUAGAGAAUACCAAGGCGCUUGAGAGAACUCGGGUGAAGGAACUAGGCAAAAUGGUGCCGUAACUUCGGGAGAAGGCACGCUGGUGUGUAGGUGAAGCCCCUGCGGGUGGAGCUGAGACCAGUCGAAGAUACCAGCUGGCUGCAACUGUUUAUUAAAAACACAGCACUGUGCAAACACGAAAGUGGACGUAUACGGUGUGACGCCUGCCCGGUGCCGGAAGGUUAAUUGAUGGGGUUAUCCGUAAGGAGAAGCUCUUGAUCGAAGCCCCGGUAAACGGCGGCCGUAACUAUAACGGUCCUAAGGUAGCGAAAUUCCUUGUCGGGUAAGUUCCGACCUGCACGAAUGGCGUAAUGAUGGCCAGGCUGUCUCCACCCGAGACUCAGUGAAAUUGAACUCGCUGUGAAGAUGCAGUGUACCCGCGGCAAGACGGAAAGACCCCGUGAACCUUUACUAUAGCUUGACACUGAACAUUGAGCCUUGAUGUGUAGGAUAGGUGGGAGGCUUUGAAGCGUGGACGCCAGUCUGCGUGGAGCCAACCUUGAAAUACCACCCUUUAAUGUUUGAUGUUCUAACGUUGGCCCCUUACCGGGGUUGCGGACAGUGUCUGGUGGGUAGUUUGACUGGGGCGGUCUCCUCCCAAAGCGUAACGGAGGAGCACGAAGGUUAGCUAAUCCUGGUCGGACAUCAGGAGGUUAGUGCAAUGGCAUAAGCUAGCUUGACUGCGAGCGUGACGGCGCGAGCAGGUGCGAAAGCAGGUCAUAGUGAUCCGGUGGUUCUGAAUGGAAGGGCCAUCGCUCAACGGAUAAAAGGUACUCCGGGGAUAACAGGCUGAUACCGCCCAAGAGUUCAUAUCGACGGCGGUGUUUGGCACCUCGAUGUCGGCUCAUCACAUCCUGGGGCUGAAGUAGGUCCCAAGGGUAUGGCUGUUCGCCAUUUAAAGUGGUACGCGAGCUGGGUUUAGAACGUCGUGAGACAGUUCGGUCCCUAUCUGCCGUGGGCGCUGGAGAAUUGAGGGGGCUGCUCCUAGUACGAGAGGACCGGAGUGGACGCAUCACUGGUGUUCGGGUUGUCAUGCCAAUGGCACUGCCCGGUAGCUAAAUGCGGAAGAGAUAAGUGCUGAAAGCAUCUAAGCACGAAACUUGCCCCGAGAUGAGUUCUCCCUGAGACUUUAAGUCUCCUGAAGGAACGUUGAAGACGACGACGUUGAUAGGCCGGGUGUGUAAGCGCAGCGAUGCGUUGAGCUAACCGGUACUAAUGAACCGUGAGGCUUAACCUU
rnacentral:rRNA from 1 species